rnacentral:rRNA from 1 species
GUGAGAAUCCUGCAGAGAUGCGGGAGUGCCUUCGGGAAUUCACAUACAGGUGCUGCAUGGCUGUCGUCAGCUCGUGUCGUGAGAUGUUGGGUUAAGUCCCGCAACGAGCGCAACCCUUUUCCUUAUUUGCCAGCGGGUUAAGCCGGGAACUUUAAGGAUACUGCCAGUGACAAACUGGAGGAAGGCGGGGACGACGUCAAGUCAUCAUGGCCCUUACGACCAGGGCUACACACGUGCUACAAUGGUAGGUACAGAGGGUUGCUACACAGCGAUGUGAUGCUAAUCUCAAAAAGCCUAUCGUAGUCCGGAUUGGAGUCUGCAACUCGACUCCAUGAAGUCGGAAUCGCUAGUAAU